CCUACGGGUGGCAGCAGUAAGGGAUAUUGGUCAAUGGGGGAAACCCUGAACCAGCAACGCCGCGUGAGGGAAGACGGUUUUCGGAUUGUAAACCUCUGUCCUCUGUGAAGAUGAUGACGGUAGCAGAGGAGGAAGCCCCGGCUAACUACGUGCCAGCAGCCGCGGUAAUACGUAGGGAGAGAGCGUUGUCCGGAUUUACUGGGGGUAAAGGGUGCGGAGGCGGCUUGGCAAAUCAUGAGUGAAAUCCAUGGGCUUAACCCAUGAAUUGCUAUUGAAACUGGCGAGCUUGAGUGAAGUAGAGGUAGGCGGAAGUCCCGGUGUAGCGGUGAAAUGCGUAGAGAUCGGGAGGAACACCAGUGGCGAAGGCGGCCUACUGGGCUUUAACUGACGCUGAGGGACGAAAGCGUGGGUAGCAAACAGGAUUAGAUACCCGGGUAGUC
rnacentral:rRNA from 1 species